UGCUUAGACAUGGAACUGGGAGACUACGGACUGCGUGGACAGGGAGUUAGGGAUAACGGACUGCGUGGUCUGAGAGCCGUGGAGUGGAGCUGACUGGGGCUUUGUGGACAAUGAGCCUAGGAAACGACUGCGUGAAUUGAGAAAACCAGGAACAGAGAUGCGUGGUUGCAGAGAUGGAGGAUAAUUAUUGCCUUCCUGUAUGGGGAGCGGGUAACUAGCUAUGUGGAUGGAGAAUAGGAGAAAGACUGUAUGGAGAGCUGCUGGAGCAGGCUGUGAGGUUCCUGGGGAAGGGACUGAGUGGACAAAAAGCUGGGGAGAGGGGCUAUGAUCCAUGAGAGUUGGCCAGACAAUAUGUGGACUGAAGAGGGGGCGGAGGUGUGUGGUAAUGUAGUGAGCUGAAGGUAUGUGUGUGUAUAUGAGGGAGGUAGUGUGGUGAACUGAGUGGACAAGGAACAUCUUUGCACUUUAAGACACUUUUAAAACAGGUACACACCACCAUCCCAUACACCACUUUUAUUGGUAUCAUUCAUUCUAAAGUGCCCAGAGGGCAGUUUUCUCGGGCUCUACACAUGAAACAGGACUAAGCAUAUAAAUAAAAUCAGGCUGUUUACAGGAGAAAAAGUUGACAGGUCACAGUAAGAAAAGCCAGUGUAAAUCUGGGACUAAGGCAGACAUGGAGGCUGAUAUGCACUUGCCUUGGAGCAAGAGUAUGAAAGUAAACUUAAUUGAAAGCUCUCACUGUCAGGGCACCCUGCUCCUACAGCACCCUUCCCCACCACCCCGGAAGUUGUGACCUCAAGAUUAUUUUCACCAUAUUUAGCUGCCUAGGCACUCAGGCCACUAUAGCACUGACCCAAGAAGCCAGCUACUUUUUGAGCUGGCAAGAGACUGUGGUGGUAUCCACAUGAUACUGGUUUUACAUAUAUGCAAAAUAAAAAAGUUCCUCACCCAGAUUUCAGAGGAAGAUCUUAGAGGCCAAACAAUAUGUCAUAGGUCAAAGUAUUUGUGGGAAGCCCCUGAGAGGACAAUUGAUAUCUGAGGGCAGGGAGUAAAAGCUGAAGAAUUAGUUAAGGGGCCAGGAAGUUAGAGACGCUUGGAGUGUGGGUGCCUGCUAAAAUAAGCCCAAGAAAGCCCAUGGCAGGUGGCCGUCCUUGUGGCCCUUGGUGGCUGCUUCAUAAGAAGGCAGGGCCUGAGUCUGCCCAGUUUAAUAGGAUAGGGGUGAUGCUGGGACUGAAAGUGUGCAUUGUAGAAUGACCAAGGGUGGCGAAUAGGGACCAACCCUAGAAGGGAAGUUGGGUUGUCCAGAAUUCCUUUGGAGAUGCCAGCAGAGAUCAGCCUGGACAGCUGGGCAAAGAGGAGGAGACUACAGAACCUGAAGUCCACAAAGGCAGUGAGAUGCUUGCAGCAGGUGCCUUUGCACUGUUAUGGGAAGAAAAUGGAUCUUCUUGACAGGUCAAAACACCCCACCCAAGGACAGUGAAUGGCUGCUGAGACCCAGUGAACCCACAGUGCCAGGCACACAGAUGAAGACAGCACCUUA